CAUCCUGAUGAUUCUGUAGCAAUUGCCGUCAGACGCGAGGACUGACGAUUCCUACGCCUAUCCGACC